GAUGGUUAUUCUCUAGUUGGAAGAAUCUCUGGUUUUAAAUUCUACAGGUUCACUCACUCAUGGUUGUCGUAGAGCAAGAUAGAUGUAUAAGGGAAAAGAAUUGUUAACAUAUGUUUUUAAGGCGGACACUAUUAAUUUACGUAGAUUAUUUGGAAGAUAGUGUCAAGUUGUUUGUAACAAUCAAUCAAUAAAGACAAAGUAGGAGAAAAGGAGACAAAAGAUAAAUGUUGGAAGUUGAACCCUACCUCUUGUUCACUUAUCCCAGAAAGAUGUGUUUUUGGCAAUCGCGUAAAUUUUGGAACUGACAUUUUUCCCGUGCCAUUUGAUUCUCAUCUUAUUCUUUUUUAAAUAUAUAACAAAAAUUGAUUUGACCAUUUCAAAGACUAUAAUUUUUUUUUUGCAAUUGUAAAGGGGAGACAAGAUUACAAGAAUCAACGAUUUUCGUGUGUUGAUCUUCACUUUGCACUUCGAACCGGAAUUUCUAGCAACGGUAGAUAUAGCCGUUUACAAUCCAAACGACUAUUCUUUUCAAGGCUACGAAUAUUGCGAAAGUACGUAAUACUAACUCGAUGACCGCU
rnacentral:lncRNA from 1 species